rnacentral:rRNA from 1 species
UACGUAGGGGGCUAGCGUUGUCCGGAAUCAUUGGGCGUAAAGCGCGUGUAGGCGGUCCGGUAAGUCGGCUGUGAAAGUCCAGGGCUCAACCCUGGGAUGCCGGUCGAUACUGCCUGACUAGAGUUCGGAAGAGGCGAGUGGAAUUCCCGGUGUAGCGGUGAAAUGCGCAGAUAUCGGGAGGAACACCAAUGGCGAAGGCAGCUCGCUGGGACGUUACUGACGCUGAGACGCGAAAGCGUGGGGAGCAAACAGG